rnacentral:rRNA from 1 species
AGUGAACGCUGGCGGUAGGCCUAACACAUGCAAGUCGAACGGCAGCACAGUAAGAGCUUGCUCUUACGGGUGGCGAGUGGCGGACGGGUGAGGAAUACAUCGGAAUCUACUUUUGCGUGGGGGAUAACGUAGGGAAACUUACGCUAAUACCGCAUACGACCUACGGGUGAAAGCAGGGGAUCUUCGGACCUUGCGCGAUUGAAUGAGCCGAUGUCGGAUUAGCUAGUUGGCGGGGUAAAGGCCCACCAAGGCGACGAUCCGUAGCUGGUCUGAGAGGAUGAUCAGCCACACUGGAACUGAGACACGGUCCAGACUCCUACGGGAGGCAGCAGUGGGGAAUAUUGGACAAUGGGCGCAAGCCUGAUCCAGCCAUACCGCGUGGGUGAAGAAGGCCUUCGGGUUGUAAAGCCCUUUUGUUGGGAAAGAAAAGCAGCAGGUUAAUACCCCGCUGUUCUGACGGUACCCAAAGAAUAAGCACCGGCUAACUUCGUG